rnacentral:rRNA from 1 species
GACGAACGCUGGCGGUGUGCUUCACACAUGCAAGUCGAACGAGGUAGCAAUACCUAGUGGCGGACGGGUGAGUAACGCGUGGGAAUCUGCCUUUAGAUGGGGGGAUAACGGGUCGAAAGACUCGCUAAUACCGCAUAUGACGAAAGUUGAAAGGAGUAAUCCGUCUAAAGAUGAGCCCGCGUCCGAUUAGCUAGUUGGUAGAGUAAAAAGCCUACCAAGGCGACGAUCGGUAGCUGGUCUGAGAGGAUGAUCAGCCACAAUGGGACUGAGACACGGCUCAUACUCCUACGGAGGCAGCAGUGGGGAAUUUUACGCAAUGGGCGAAAGCCUGACGUAGCGACACCGCGUGAGCGAAGAAGCCCCUUGGGGUGUAAAGCUCUGUCAGCUGGACGAAAAAAAUGACGGUACCAGCAGAGGAAGCAUCGGCUAACUACGUGCCAGCAGCCGCGGUAAU